AUUGAACGCUGGCGGUAUGCCUAACACAUGCAAGUCGAACGGCAGCACAGUAAGAGCUUGCUCUUACGGGUGGCGAGUGGCGGACGGGUGAGGAAUACAUCGGAAUCUACUUUUGCGUGGGGGAUAACGUAGGGAAACUUACUCUAAUACCGCAUACGACCUACGUGUGAAAGCAGGGGAUCUUCGGACCUUGCUCGAUUGAAUGAGCCGAUGUCGGAUUAGCUAGUUGGCGGGGUAAAGGCCCACCAAGGCGACGAUCAGUAGCUGGUCUGAGAGGAUGAUCAGCCACACUGGAACUGAGACACGGUCCAGACUCCUACGGGAGGCAGCAGUGGGGAAUAUUGGACAAUGGGCGAAAGCCUGAUCCAGCAAUACCGCGUGGGUGAAGAAGGCCUUCGGGUUGUAAAGCACUUUUGUUGGGAAAGAAAAGCAGCAGGUUAAUACCCCGCUGUUCUGACGGUACCCAAAGAAUAAGCACCGGCUAACUUCGUG
rnacentral:rRNA from 1 species